rnacentral:lncRNA from 1 species
AUAAGCAGUUACAGGUACUACUGUACAAUCGCCAACAAUGAGAAAAACUCAUACCGUAAAGAGAAUUUCAUAAUUUACAAGUAAGUUUUGUUUUUGCAUUGCAUCAUUUUCUGCUAUUGUCAUGUUUGUCUUAAUUGCAAAUAUGGGAAGUGGUUAAAAUGCUAAUGAGACGACUAUUAUAUAUGACCACCAGAUGUCAUUGUUUUCAAAAUGAAAAACUCCUUUUUCAAUCAUACCGGUAAAUUACUUUAUCAUGUUUACACUGAAAUAUAAUUUUGCUUUGAGUUAAAAAAUAUGGUCAUCAAUAAAAAGUUGACAUGUAACUAUGCACAAUUACCAUUAUGUUACUUGAUGUUCUUGCAAUACACACAGUACGGUGACUAGUCAGUCUUUGUCAACUACUUUUCAUAGGAUGGGAGUCAUUGAAUAUGUGUAUAUAAUCAAUAAUUAAAAGACGUCUAUUUAUGUAAAUAAGAAAAAAAAUUCUAUGUCUUAAAAAAUUCAUUUCGUGGCGAG